AUGAACGCUAGCGGCAGGCCUAAUACAUGCAAGUCGAACGGGCGGUAGCAAUACCGCUAGUGGCGCACGGGUGCGUAACGCGUAACCAACCUGCCCAGAUCUGGGGGAUAGCCCGCCGAAAGGCGGAUUAAUACCGCAUAAACCCACAGUGUGGCAUCACAUAAUGGGUAAAGAUUUAUCGGAUCUGGAUGGGGUUGCGUAGCAUUAGCUAGUUGGCGGGGUAAUGGCCCACCAAGGCGACGAUGCUUAGGGGACCUGAGAGGGUGAUCCCCCACACUGGCACUGAGAUACGGGCCAGACUCCUACGGGAGGCAGCAGUAGGGAAUAGUGGGCAAUGGGCGAGAGCCUGACCCAGCCAUGCCGCGUGCCGGAUGAAGGCCUUCUGGGUUGUAAACGGCUUUUCUCAGGGAAGAAAACGGGGAUGCGUCCUCAACUGACGGUACCUGAGGAAUAAGCACCGGCUAACUCCGUG
rnacentral:rRNA from 1 species